GCCGGGCAUGGUGGCCCACCCCUGUAAUCCCAGCAACUUGGGAGGCUGAGGCAGGUGAAUUGCAAAUUCAAGCCCAUCCUCAGCAAUUUAGCAAGACCCUGUCUACA
rnacentral:sRNA from 1 species